UCUCUUCGGCAAAUCAGAAGGCUCUGCAUAAAUACUGCCAAUUGUUAAACAUUUACCUGCACAUACUGGGCUCAUCUUCAUUAUUGGUAAAAUGAGCUAGAUGCUAUUUUCCAUUAGCUCACACUCCAAUUCCAAUCGACCUGACCAUCAGAAGAGACAAAAAGGGAAAAUCCUGGCCAGUUCUCCCCUACCUGAUCAACCAGUAGCAUAAUCAGAUUUGCAAGACCUCAAGAAAAGAAACCUGAAAAUGCCACUGGAGGUGUGUGUUUUGCCAAAGAAAAAAGAAUCAAAAACAAAACCUGCAGGAUGAGGACAAACAAACAAAGAGCAGGGACAGAGUCUCACUAUGUUGACACCCUGGACAACACUCUUGAAGUACUCUUUUCCCAGGGAGGACACAGUCAUGGCAUGCAAGACGAGAUACCGAUCCUCAGAGAAUCUAAGUGAUUUGCUCAGGUUCACAGUUAGUAAGUGGUAAAGCAAGGAACUGAGGUGUCGGGGCUCACAACAUGAUAACCCAAAAUAAUGGCACCUUGGCACAGGGCUCAGCCAUGAACCUUGUGAUGGAUGAGGAAAAGAUAUUCUUUUUCUCCCCUUACAGUUUCUGGCAGCCAACAUGGGGUGGCUGUGACACCCCACUAGUUCCAGAACCUGCAGAUGAGAUCCUGGGACAACCAAUAAAAAAACAACAAAAA
ensembl:lncRNA novel transcript, antisense to CPVL